rnacentral:misc_RNA from 1 species
GCUAAUUGUGAUGGUUCUCCUUCACGAUCGUAUCUUAAGGCAAGUCUGUCCAGAUAUGUUUCACGGUUUACAGGCAACCACUUAGGGAACUGAUCCAAAAUCCAGGAUAUAGCAAACCAUAUCUCACAUAUUACAGAUAUUAACCACAAAGCAUAUGCAUUAGGCACAGGAUUUGUUAUUCGAUAGUGCAAGAAAACGCAGAGGAUAAUCAGCCGCAAAACAAUGAUCAUCCUGUAUGGAUUAAUCCUAGAUGAAGGAAUAGAAACCUUCCUGGAAAGAGGUUGUCGAGCUUCAUCAUUCAAUAAAGAGUCAUCCACAAGCACAUCAGUGCUGGCAUCGAUAUCUCCAAUGCCCCUUUCAGAAGGAGCUUGGCCAGUGCUCAUAGGAACAACAUUCUUCUCCUGCUUCAUCUUCCAGCCAUCAACUCUCUCUUUCCAAGCCACAUUGCCCAAUCCUGAAGAACCAAACUCCCUCACAGGAUCCACCCUCACAUUAGGUGAUUGAUUGACAUCAGCUGUGUAAGGAAGAGAAUGGAUGCUCUUCCCACCAGCAACUCCAGGAGAUGCCAUAGAAAUAUGUUCGGGUGAUGCAGUAGACAACUCUCCAGAAACCUCAUGUCCAUUGGUGAGUAGUGGAAUAUGGUUAUGAGAAACCUCUUUGUCAUAAUUUGGAGUGCCAAAAUCCUCACCUCGUCCGUAAGUCAUUUGCCAGCUCAACAUUCGUUCUGCAAUUUUCUGCUUCUGGUUUUGAUUUGCUGAAGAGUAAUUGAAAUCACUGGCACCAUCAUCAGCAUCAUCGUCUUCUUCUCUGUCAUCAAGAGUGGCAGGGCUACCUUUCUGCCUUUUGUAUCUGGUUUUGCAUUGAGGGCAAGACUGGUUCCCAUCCUUCCUCUCGUAUUCAUAGCAA